rnacentral:rRNA from 1 species
GACGAACGCUGGCGGCGUGCUUAACACAUGCAAGUCGAACGAAGUGGCGAACGGGUGAGUAACGCGUAAUCAAUCUGCCCUUCAGAGGGGGAUAACAGUUGGAAACGACUGCUAAUACCGCAUACUGAGGGAGGGGAUUGCGUCUGAUUAGCUAGUUGGCGGGGUAACGGCCAACCAAGGCGCUGAUGAGUAGCCGGUCUGAGAGGGUGAACGGCCACACUGGGACUGAGACACGGCCCAGACUCUUACGGGAGGCAGCAGUGGGUAAUCUUCCGCAAUGGACGAAAGUCUGACGGAGCAACGCCGCGUGAGUGAUGACGGCCUUCGUGUUGUAAAGCUCUGUUAAUCGUGACGCGGUACCUGAAUAGAAAGCCACGGCUAACUACGUGCCAGCAGCCGCGGUAAUUC